UAAGAGCAGUGGGCAUGGGAACAUAGGGGAAAGCCAAACUUUCUUUACCUGUACAACUAAGGGUGGAGAACUGGAGAUUAGUUUAGUGUUUCCCAAUGCCUUCCAUGCCUAUUGUUCUUA